GGGAGUCUAGCUCAAGUGGUAGAGUGUGUGCUUAGCAGGCAUGAGGUCCUGGGUUCAAUCCCCAGUACCCUCA
rfam:Camelus ferus unplaced genomic scaffold scaffold128, whole genome shotgun sequence.